rnacentral:rRNA from 4 species
GGUUGAUCCUGCCAGUAGUCAUAUGCUUGUCUCAAAGAUUAAG